GACGAACGCUGGCGGCGUGCUUAACACAUGCAAGUCGAACGGUAAGGCCCUUCGGGGUACACGAGUGGCGAACGGGUGAGUAACACGUGGGUGAUCUGCCCUGCACUUCGGGAUAAGCCUGGGAAACUGGGUCUAAUACCGGAUAGGACUCCUGGCUUCAUGGUUGGGGGUGGAAAGCUUUUGCGGUGUGGGAUGGGCCCGCGGCCUAUCAGCUUGUUGGUGGGGUAAUGGCCUACCAAGGCGACGACGGGUAGUCGGCCUGGGAGGGUGACCGGUCACACUGGGGCGGUGAUACGGCCCAGACUCCUACGGGAGGCAGCAGUGGGGAAUAUUGCACAAUGGGCGCAAGCCUGAUGCAGCGACGCCGCGUGAGGGAUGACGGCCUUCGGGUUGUAAACCUCUUUCAGCUAUGACGAAGCGCAAGUGACGGUAGUAGCAGAAGAAGGACCGGCCAACUACGUGCCAGCCGCCGCCGUAA
rnacentral:rRNA from 1 species